rnacentral:rRNA from 1 species
UACGUAGGGGGCAAGCGUUGUCCGGAUUUAUUGGGCGUAAAGAGCGCGCAGGCGGUUUGAGAAGUCAGAUGUGAAAGAGGCCGGCUUAACCGGCAAGGAUCAUUUGAAACUGACAGAUUAGAGUACAGCAGAGGAUAGCGGAAUUCCCGGUGUAGUGGUGAAAUGCGUAGAUAUCGGGAGGAACACCAGUGGCGAAGGCGGCUAUCUGGGCUGAAACGUGACGCUGAGGCGCGAAGGCUAGGGUAGCAAACAGG